UAUUUUUUUCCUUGUCAUAAAGAAAUUUCAUUUUAAUCAUCAUUCCUCUAAAAGAAUUUUUUAUGAUUUUAUCAGCAUGGUACUUACAAAGAGCAUAUCCCCCUUUAGACAAAUUAUUUUAGGCAGCCAAGUUCAGUUUAUUUGGGUUUCAUGCUAUAAAUUAUGCUAAUUUAUGAAGGUUACUUCUUGUUGGAUGCUUGUAGUAUUCAUAUAAUAUUUAAAUGCAAAAGAGAAUAUUAAUAUAAAGCAUUAUCAAUUAAAUUUUAUUCAACCUGUUAAUGUUUUCUGUGAUACAUGAUCAUCUUAGGUGUAUAACUAAUUUUGCAUUACCAUUUAUGAGUGAUAUAGUUGUGUUCUUUUUAAAGCGUAUAUGCAAUUAGUAGUGGUUAUAUUCAUUUCAUGAAAUCUCUUUGAAGGUCCUUUGUUUUAGGAGUGUAAGUAAUUUUCAUUAUAAUAUAUUCAUAUAUUUUUAAAUCUCAUUUCCAUAUGAAGGUAAAGAUGGGGUCAUUCUUAGAAUGAAAUAACUCUAUUCAGAAGGACACAGUCAAAGGCUAGGAAUUCAUUUGUUAUCCCUCUGUAGUUGUUAGGACAGGAGCACUAAUCUGGCCAACUAACCUUUAAAAGAACAUGCAAAGUCAAAGAUGUCAGGUUGUACCAGUAAAUAUUCACGGGCAAAGUUUUUAUAUCAAAGACUGGAACUUUCGAAGAUGCUCCUGGGUCUUAGUGUACCCUAACAUCUAUUAAUCCCUGGUACCUUAGGUGACUUGUCAUAGAAGUGCUACAUUUACAAAUAGUAUGCAAGGAGGCCCAAGAGGACAAAUUCAGUUAAAGGUCAAGGAAGCAAUUAACAUUCUCUAUUUUUCCCUAAAGAACUUCUACAGCAAAUGUUGUCCUCCCUCUGCACCCCCAAUCUUAGCAAGGCAAGUGCAUAUAGUGAAAUGGAAGUUAAAGUUCAAAUAAAACACGUUACCAAUAUUA
rnacentral:lncRNA from 1 species